rnacentral:rRNA from 1 species
UGCCAGCCGCCGCGGUAAUACGGAGGGUCCAAGCGUUAUCCGGAUUCAUUGGGUUUAAAGGGUACGUAGGCGGAUAAAUAAGUCAGUGGUGAAAGCCCGAAGCUCAACUUCGGAACUGCCAUUGAUACUGUUUAUCUUGAAUUUGGUUGAAGUGGGCGGAAUAUGACAUGUAGCGGUGAAAUGCAUAGAUAUGUCAUGGAACACCAAUAGUGAAGACAGCUCACUAAGCCAAUAUUGACGCUGAGGUGCGAAAGCUAGGGGAGCGAACGGGAUUAGAUA